AUUCCACCUCGGAGCAUCAAUACCUCCAUGAACCAGGCUGCAUAUAUUUACAGAGGGAAUCAUAUCACCCAUUUCCCUGGUGGUAAAGAUCAUGACUCACCUUCUUCUCAUUCCCUAAGAAACAAUAUUGAAGUUAGACCAGUUAAUUACUCUGUAAUGGACUGAACAGUUGGAA